AGAGUUUGAUCCUGGCUCAGAAUGAACGCUGGCGGCGUGCUUAACACAUGCAAGUCGUACGAGAACGCUUCAGCUUGCUGAAGCUAGUAAAGUGGCGUACGGGUGAGUAACGCGUGGGUAAUCUACCUUCGAAUUGGGGAUAACGUUGCGAGAGUGACGCUAAUACCGGAUAAUAUCAUAGAGACUUUGGUUUUUAUGAUCAAAGAUGGCCUCUCCUUGGAAGCUAUUGUUUGGAGAUGAGCCCGCGUCCCAUUAGCUUGUUGGUGGGGUAAUGGCCUACCAAGGCUACGAUGGGUAGCUGGUCUGAGAGGAUGAUCAGCCACACUGGAACUGACACACGGUCCAGACUCCUACGGGAGGCAGCAGUGAGGAAUUUUGCGCAAUGGGGGAAACCCUGACGCAGCAACGCCGCGUGAGUGAUGAAGGCUUUCGGGUCGUAAAGCUCUGUCAAGUGGGAAGAACUCCCGUGAGGUUAAUACCCUCAUGGUUUGACGGUACCACUGAAGGAAGCACCGGCUACUCCGUGCCAGCAGCCGCGGUAAUACGGGGGGUGCAAGCGUUAUUCGGAUUUACUGGGCGUAAAGCGCGCGUAGGCGGCCGUUUAAGUCAGAUGUGAAAGCCCGGGGCUCAACCCCGGAAGUGCAUUUGAUACUAUUCGGCUUGAGUAUGGGAGAGGGAAGUGGAAUUCCUGGUGUAGAGGUGAAAUUCGUAGAUAUCAGGAGGAACACCGGUGGCGAAGGCGACUUCCUGGACCAAUACUGACGCUGAGGCGGGAAGGCGUGGGUAGCAAACAGGAUUAGAUACCCUGGUAGUCCACGCAGUAAACGGUGAUCACUAGGUGUAGCGGGUAUUGACCCCUGCUGUGCCGCAGCUAACGCAUUAAGUGAUCCGCCUGGGGAGUACGGCCGCAAGGUUAAAACUCAAAGGGAUUGACGGGGGCCCGCACAAGCGGUGGAGCAUGUGGUUUAAUUCGACGCAACGCGAAGAACCUUACCUGGAUUUGACAUCUCGGGAAUUUCUAUGAAAGUAGGAAGUGCCCUUCGGGGAGCCCGAUGACAGGUGCUGCAUGGCUGUCGUCAGCUCGUGUCGUGAAAUGUUGGGUUAAGUCCCGCAACGAGCGCAACCCCUAUCUUUAGUUACCAGCACUUCGGGUGGGGACUCUAAAGAUACUGCCCCGGUCAACGGGGAGGAAGGUGGGGAUGACGUCAAGUCCUCAUGG
rnacentral:rRNA from 1 species